AACGUCAAUGCAGAAAUACUUCUUAGUUAUUGAGAUUGGUUGGAAAAUAUCAUUUUGUUUGCAGUAUGGAAAACGUGUUUUCAAGGAAUACAUUGCACAAAUAUAUAGAGAUUUUUUAAAAUGCAAUUCUAUGGUGAGCUCUUCGUUAAGAGGAAUGAACAGAGAACAAGUAGUCAUCUUUAGUAACAGAAUGAGUUUUUUUAAUGAAAGG